GACGAACGCUGGCGGCAUGCCUAAUACAUGCAAGUCGAGCGAACAGAUGAAGUGCUUGCACUUCUGACGUUAGCGGCGAACGGGUGAGUCACACGUAAGGAAUCUACCUAUAAGCGGGGGAUAACAUUCGGAAACGGGUGCUAAUACCGCAUAAUAUCUUCUUCCGCAUGGAAGAAGAUUGCAAGACGGCUCUGCUGUCACUUAUAGAUGACCUUGCGGUGCAUUAGUUAGUUGGUGGGGUAAUGGCCUACCAAGACGAUGAUGCAUAGCCGACCUGAGAGGGUGGUCGGCCACAUUGGGACUGAGACACGGCCCAAACUCCUACGGGAGGCAGCAGUAGGGAAUCUUCCGCAAUGGGCGAAAGCCUGACGGAGCAAUGCCGCGUGAGUGAAGAAGGCCUUCGGGUCGUAAAACUCUGUUAUAAGAGAAGAACAAAUUGUAGAGUAACUGCUACAGUCUUGGCGGUAUCUUAUCAGAAAGCCACGGCUAACUACGUGCCAGCCGCCGCGGUAA
rnacentral:rRNA from 1 species